UUAUAUCAAAGUUUUAUACGAUAGUUCUCUCUUUCUCGUGCCCUCUCUCUCAUAAUCAAGAGCAAAUUACCGAAGAGCGAAAAGCAAAGAUCUAUAUAGGUGAGUUAUGGAGCUCAUUCGUUCAGUAUUGUUGUUGAAUUCUUAGGGUUUUGCAGAAUCUCACUCUCUCUCUAACUCACUCUCUUAGAGCCUUCAACAUGAGCAAAUUGGGCCAGCCUCCAGAUCUGAAGAAACAAAUAUAUGGACAAGAAGCUCCAAAAUACGUUCCUAUUACCCCCCAUGAAUGCUCUGCCUUGUAUUUCUUUUUAUUAUUUAUUUAUUUUAUAUUUUGCAGUUUCUCUCUCUCUGAUUUGUGAGAAAAUUUAGGCAAAUGAAGGAAAAUAGGUUAUCUUCUUAUAUUCAUAGAUAUUGAAUUAGCUAAAAAUUAAAAUAAAAAAAUAAAAAAAAAAUCUUGUAGCUAAGGCUAAUGUUGCUGUAUAGUUGCAGACUUGGAGCUAAAAAUGCUUAUUAGAGCUUACAACUUAGUAUUCAAGCUUUUAGGUUCCUAUUUUGUUCCUCACUAUUUUAUUUUUUUUUAAACUGUAGCCAUUGCAUUCAUAAUAAGUUACUCUGAUUUUAUAGUUUCUUUGUGAAAUAUUGUAGUGCAACCAUGACUAUUUUUUUUAAAAUUUUUUUUAUAAAAUUGGGAAUUGUACGAAUUUUUUGGAAUUACAUUCCCUAGUGUGUUUAUGGGACCAUGUCCCAGAGGCUUUGGUUUCACCAAUGUUGGCUGGUUUUUGGUUUCAGACUAAUCUUUAGUUGGAAUAUGGCCUUAGACAUUGUAUGAGCUUAAUUUGCUAGAGGGCAGCGAAGGGAAAAAGGAGCCAUUAGACUAAGCUGUUUGAAUUGAUUUGGUUGAAGAAAUUUCCCUUCAAGGAGUAAGUACUAGACAAAAUUAGAGGCUAAUGAAGUACCUUCCUUGAUGAUAAAGUGAGUUACUUGACAAAUAAAACUCUAAGAAGAGAAGAAAGGGGAGAAGAGGGUUCAAAUAAUUCCCCUUAACUAAUCUGCGAAAAAGAGGGUUCCAAUCCUCCCUUUGUAAACUAGUUUGGGCUGCAUCAAUGUAUCAUGUUUGGAUUCAGAGAAAUGCUACAAUGUUUAAUGGAAGAAUCUUGUUAGAGGAGGCUCUAAUGCAAUAGAUCAAAAAUUAUGUGAGGUUGUGUGCAGGUAGUUGCAAAGCAGUGACCAUUUCACAUUGUUAUAGGGUCUUAUGUAGUAAGUGGAACAUUUCUUUCUUUGUUUUAAGUGCUAGAACAGGUUAAGGGUUGGUGUCUGACUUUUGACCCUGUGCUGUUGGAGUCUCAGGUUUCCCCUAAUGAGAAUUGGUGUUUAUAUUUCUAGUUUGAUUUAUUGAUCAAUAAUAUCACUUAUUAAUUAGAAAAACUUAGGGUGGAAGCAUCAUCAAGGUGAAAAAUGAACUUUUUAGUCCGAUUUUCAUUCAUUUUUGCAGGAAACUUGUGGAACCUAUGGUAUUUCCAGCAUCUACACAUUUAACAACAAGAAUUAAAGCUCGCUACAACUAGAGGUUCCUUUGGGAAGCUUGGCAAGUUUUAAACCUUAUCAUCUUGAUCAUAGCUGCCGUAUUGUCAUUAGCACUUGGAAUUAAAACAGAGGAUGCAAAUGGAGGCAUUAAGUGCAAAACGUAGCUAAUUGGGCGAUCUGGACAGCUUUGACAUCGCUUUGUAAUCUGGGUAUAACUCUCUCAUCCAAGCUCUGAUUGAGAUGAUUCAAGAUGCUAUGAAACGCCAAGACAAAGCUCUACAACUUUCGUGCUUUGAGUUUUAAGAUAUACGGGCUACAUCAAGGUCGAAAUCGGGCUUGAAUUUGCUGCACCUGCACUGCUGACGUUCUGGAAUGUUCCUUUGCUUGAAAUUCUAACACGCGUAUCUGAUGUGGUUUAUUUUUGGAAGCCUCUAGAUCUGGUGCACGAAAUUUCCAACUGAAAAACACCACUUUCCUAGUUGUAUUAGGACUUUGUUUUAUUUUUAAUAUUUUUCCUUAAUUAGU